rnacentral:lncRNA from 10 species
GUUGCGGGCGCCUGUAGUCCCAGCUACUCGGGAGGCUGAGGCAGGAGAACGGCGUGAACCCGGAAGGCGGAGCUUGCAGUGAGCGGAGAUCGCGCCAUUACACUCCAGCCUGGGAGAGACAGAGCGAGACUCCGUCUCGGGAAAAAAAAAAAAAAAAAAAAAAAGGCAUAAAGCAUUGAUUGUCAAGUGGUCUGGUAAGAAAAUACUUACUGCGCUUCCUUACUUUUGCUCAUUUUUCAUUCCCAAAAGGGCUUCUUUUCAGUUUCUCUGACCCUCGGGCAUCUUUCUCCCAGCCCCCUUGUUUCAGUUUCCUGCUUGCCCACCAAUAACCUCGUUAGAGCCACACCACACACAUGGUUCGCCUGCUGCUGACAACAGACAGAGCUCAUGGGCAAUUUUAAUAGUGCAGAUGUUAUUUCUCUUCUUCUCAGAGGAACGGCCUCUGAGAGCCCCACAGUGAUGGGGCUAUAACCCCAGAAACCUGCGCUGGGGAAGGCAGUCAUGGUUCCUCCCCAGCUCAAACUUUCCCAUGUGAAAUCCCGUGGGCCAGUUUGAGGUCCACUGGCCACUAAAAUGCAAUCUCUCUGUUUUGGAAACUUUCCUCAGAACUAAUUAGCAGAGGGAUCUGUCUCCAUAACCCAAACACCUCCCACCAAGCCCCACCUCCAACACUGGUAAUCACAUUUCAACAUUAGAUUUGGAGGGGACAAAUAUCCAAACUCAUCCACUAGAAAUCACUCCGACCCCCACAUUCUAGCCUUUGGAACCAAAAGGACUUAUCUAGCAUAUGUGGUAUCACUGGAAUUGUCACUUUGAAAAGAUUAGUCUUAUCCUAUAUAAACAUAUGAGGCCCAGGAUGGAGAAGUGGUUAGGAACACAGAUGCUGUGGUCAGACUUCCCAGGCUCUGCCAUUUACUAGCUGUGUGAUAGGCAAGUUUCUUAACUUCUUUAUGACUUAGUUUGCCCACCUGUAAAAUGGAGAUAACAGGUGGUGAGGAGAAAUGGGAUAAUGCAGCAAAAAUGUGUAACAAAAAGGAAACCUUCCAUAAAUGGUAACUAUGAUUAUUGUUCCCCUAGUAGAAGUUGUCCCUGGAGGGCCUGUCCUACACUUAGAAAAAGAUCCCUGGAGCAAAUUCCCUGCUCCCACUUCCUAGAGCCCUAACAAGUAAUAUCUCUGCUAAUACUUUGUCAUAGGCUCUUUCUGUUUGUUUUUAAGACAAAGAGGCUUGAAAUGAGACAAAGGAAAAACAAGUACCAGAAUUGCAAAGUUAACAUUUUUAUUGAACUGAAAUUGGUGUAGAACAGGGGCAACCACAGCUGCUGAGCUCUGUAACAACUGAAAAGCCCCUGUGACAUUUUACCUUUGAGAGUCCUAACACGGUUUGAGUGGAACAGCUGAGAAACAGCAUAUAUAUAUUUUAACACCUCAAAAUAGUUUGAAAUGAGCCUCACAGCCUUGUUCAAUCUUCAGAUUACAAAUAACAUUGAUAGCAUCUCCUGUGGCCUUCAGUUAGUAGUGCCAGUUAAUAUUGUUUCUGAAAACUUUCCUCUCAAAGUGCUGGCUAUAAUUUUUUCUCCAUCCAGUACACAUAAGAAAAGGAUUUAGUAACACUUGGGCAAGUAAUAAACUGUAGAACUUUAAAAGUAGUAAAGGCAUAUACCAAGCAUACGUGACUCCACACAUUGUCAGAAAGGCAGUGGACUGGCUAACGAGUUUCUGCCAAGUUUCAGAAGCAAAGAAUGCACUAAUGAAAAGGGUAAGGCAUCCAAGCAGAGUGUCUGAAUUGAUGGACCACUUUUGUCUAAAACUAAUUUCAACAUCUUCCAAUAUGCAAGCAGGCAUUUGUUUUACAUAAGGUGAAACACUUUAUAAGAGAAAAGAAAACUCCUAUAAAGCUUAUAAGAUCAGAAAAAAUUAAUACUGAAUUUUUAUAAUCAAUGCAUGGAGCAAUGAUAUAAACUGACCAUAACAAUUUUGUGAGAACAAGUAUAAAACUAUCCAUUACUACCUUAAAGAGUUGAAAGUUAAGCCCUCUAAAGUAUUCAAAGUGG